rnacentral:lncRNA from 1 species
UUUUCCACAGGUACAUUGUUCGCCACAUAAGCUUGCAUUUAACACUUUUAGGAAAUCGUUUCAAUGUGGCUCCGAGUUCAACAAUAGAGAUAGUACCGAGAUUCAGGCCUGUUGCUUGUUUAAUUGUUUCACAAUGUUAUAUUCACUGUGCUUAAUAAAUUUAAGAACUCAUGUGCUUCCUCCCAAUUCGCAGCCUUUUUAACUUCUU